rnacentral:rRNA from 1 species
AACGAACGCUGGCGGCAUGCCUAACACAUGCAAGUCGAACGAGACCUUCGGGUCUAGUGGCGCACGGGUGCGUAACGCGUGGGAACCUGCCCUUAGGUUCGGACUAACUCCCCGAAAGGGGUGCUAAUACCGGAUAAUGUCUUCGGACCAAAGAUUUAUCGCCUUUGGAUGGGCCCGCGUUGGAUUAGCUAGUUGGUAGGGUAAAAGCCUACCAAGGCGACGAUCCAUAGCUGGUCUGAGAGGAUGAUCAGCCACACUGGGACUGAGACACGGCCCAGACUCCUACGGGAGGCAGCAGUGUGGAAUAUUGGACAAUGGGCCAAAGCCUGAUCCAGCAAUGCCGCGUGAGUGAUGAAGGCCUUAGGGUUGUAAAGCUCUUUUACCCGGGAUGAUAAUGACAGUACCGGGAGAAUAAGCUCCGGCUAACUCCGUG